rnacentral:rRNA from 1 species
CGGCCGUGGCGGGGUGCUAUACAUGCAAGUCGAACGAACUCUGGUAUUGAUUGGUGCUUGCAUCAUGAUUUACAUUUGAGUGAGUGGCGAACUGGUGAGUAACACGUGGGAAACCUGCCCAGAAGCGGGGGAUAACACCUGGAAACAGAUGCUAAUACCGCAUAACAACUUGGACCGCAUGGUCCGAGCUUGAAAGAUGGCUUCGGCUAUCACUUUUGGAUGGUCCCGCGGCGUAUUAGCUAGAUGGUGGGGUAACGGCUCACCAUGGCAAUGAUACGUAGCCGACCUGAGAGGGUAAUCGGCCACAUUGGGACUGAGACACGGCCCAAACUCCUACGGGAGGCAGCAGUAGGGAAUCUUCCACAAUGGACGAAAGUCUGAUGGAGCAACGCCGCGUGAGUGAAGAAGGGUUUCGGCUCGUAAAACUCUGUUGUUAAAGAAGAACAUAUCUGAGAGUAACUGUUCAGGUAUUGACGGUAUUUAACCAGAAAGCCACGGCUAACUACGUGCCAGCAGCCGCGGUAAUACGUAGGUGGCAAGCGUUGUCCGGAUUUAUUGGGCGUAAAGCGAGCGCAGGCGGUUUUUUAAGUCUGAUGUGAAAGCCUUCGGCUCAACCGAAGAAGUGCAUCGGAAACUGGGAAACUUGAGUGCAGAAGAGGACAGUGGAACUCCAUGUGUAGCGGUGAAAUGCGUAGAUAUAUGGAAGAACACCAGUGGCGAAGGCGGCUGUCUGGUCUGUAACUGACGCUGAGGCUCGAAAGUAUGGGUAGCAAACAGGAUUAGAUACCCUGGUAGUCCAUACCGUAAACGAUGAAUGCUAAGUGUUGGAGGGUUUCCGCCCUUCAGUGCUGCAGCUAACGCAUUAAGCAUUCCGCCUGGGGAGUACGGCCGCAAGGCUGAAACUCAAAGGAAUUGACGGGGGCCCGCACAAGCGGUGGAGCAUGUGGUUUAAUUCGAAGCUACGCGAAGAACCUUACCAGGUCUUGACAUACUA